UACGGAGGGUGCAAGCGUUAUCCGGAUUCACUGGGUUUAAAGGGUGCGUAGGUGGGCAGGCAAGUCAGUGGUGAAAUCUCCGGGCUUAACUCGGAAACUGCCAUUGAUACUAUCUGUCUUGAAUACCGUGGAGGUCAGCGGAAUAUGUCAUGUAGCGGUGAAAUGCUUAGAUAUGACAUAGAACACCAAUUGCGAAGGCAGCUGGCUACACGAAUAUUGACACUGAUGCACGAAAGCGUGGGGAUCAAACAGG
rnacentral:rRNA from 1 species